rnacentral:rRNA from 1 species
GACGAACGCUGGCGGCGUGCUUAACACAUGCAAGUCGAACGGAAAGGCCCUGCUUUUGUGGGGUGCUUGAGUGGCGAACGGGUGAGUAACACGUGAGUAACCUGCCCUUGACUUUGGGAUAACUUCAGGAAACUGGGGCUAAUACCGGAUAGGAGCUCCUGCUGCAUGGUGGGGGUUGGAAAGUUUCGGCGGUUGGGGAUGGACUCGCGGCUUAUCAGCUUGUUGGUGGGGUAGUGGCUUACCAAGGCUUUGACGGGUAGCCGGCCUGAGAGGGUGACCGGCCACAUUGGGACUGAGAUACGGCCCAGACUCCUACGGGAGGCAGCAGUGGGGAAUAUUGCACAAUGGGCGGAAGCCUGAUUCAGCAACGCCGCGUGCGGGAUGACGGCCUUCGGGUUGUAAACCGCUUUCGCCUGUGACGAAGCGUGAGUGACGGUAAUGGGUAAAGAAGCACCGGCUAACUACGUG